ACUCAAAUGAAUAGACGGGGACCCGCACAAGCGGUGGAACAUGUGGUUUAAUUCGACGGUAAGCGAGGCACCUCACCAAGGUUUGAAAUGUAACUGCACAUCCCAUGAAAGUGGGACUCCUUCGAGGGUGUUACACAGGUGCUGCAUGGUUGUCGUCAGCUCGUGCCGUGAGGUGUACCCUUAAGUGGGGUAACGAGCGCAACCCCUAUGUCGUGUUGUUUUUCACGACAGACUGCCUCGGAUAACGGGGAGGAAGGUGGGGAUGACGUCAAAUCAGCAUGGCUCUUACACCUUGGGCGACACACGUGUUACAAUGGACGGUACAAAGGGCUGCCAAACCGAAAGGUGGAGCAAAUCCCAUCAAAACCGUUCUCAGUUCGGAUUGAGGGCUGCAACUCGCCCUCAUGAAGCUGGAAUCGCUAGUAAAUGCGCAUCAGAACGGCGCAUUGAAUACGUUCUCGGGUCUUGUACACACCGCCCGU
rnacentral:rRNA from 1 species